GACGAACGCUGGCGGCGUGCUUAACACAUGCAAGUCGAACGGUGAAGGGAUCAGCUUGCUGGUUCUGGAUGAGUGGCGAACGGGUGAGUAACACGUGAGUAACCUGCCCCCUUCUUCUGGAUAACCGCAUGAAAGUGUGGCUAAUACGGGAUAUUCUGCGCCUGCUGCAUGGUGGGUGUGGGAAAGAUAUUGUUUCGGUGGGGGAUGGGCUCGCGGCCUAUCAGCUUGUUGGUGGGGUGAUGGCCUACCAAGGCGGUGACGGGUAGCCGGCCUGAGAGGGUGGACGGUCACACUGGGACUGAGACACGGCCGAGACGCCUACGGGAGGCAGCAGUGGGGAAUAUUGCACAAGGGGAGAAAGCCUGAUGCAGCGACGCCGCGUGAGGGAUGGAGGCCUUCGGGUUGUGAACCUCUUUCGCCAGUGAAGCAGGCCUGUCCAUUGUGGGUGGGUUGACGGUAGCUGGAUAAGAAGCGCCGGCUAACUACGUG
rnacentral:rRNA from 1 species